rnacentral:rRNA from 1 species
CAGUAGCCACGGUAAUACGAAGGGUGCAAGCGUUAAUCGGAAUUACUGGGCGUAAAGCGUGCGUAUGCGGUUUGUUAAGUCUGUUGUGAAAUCCCCGGGCUCAACCUGGGAAUGGCAAUGGAUACUGGCAAGCUAGAGUGUGUCAGAGGAUGGUGGAAUUCCCGGUGUAGCGGUGAAAUGCGUAGAGAUCGGGAGGAACAUCAGUGGCGAAGGCGGCCAUCUGGGACAACACUGACGCUGAGGCACGAAAGCGUGGGGAGCAAACAGGAUUAGAUACCCCAGUAGUCCCUGUCUCUUAUAC